rnacentral:rRNA from 1 species
AUUGAACGCUGGCGGCAGGCCUAACACAUGCAAGUCGAGCGGAUGAAGGGAGCUUGCUCCUGGAUUCAGCGGCGGGCGGGUGAGUAAUGCCUAGGAAUCUGCCUGGUAGUGGGGGAUAACGUCCGGAAACGGGCGCUAAUACCGCAUACGUCCUGAGGGAGAAAGUGGGGGAUCUUCGGACCUCACGCUAUCAGAUGAGCCUAGGUCGGAUUAGCUAGUUGGUGGGGUAAAGGCCUACCAAGGCGACGAUCCGUAACUGGUCUGAGAGGAUGAUCAGUCAAAUUGGAAUGGAGACAGGGCCCAACUCCCUAGGGAGGGAAGAGGUGGGAAAUUUGGGAAAAGGGGGAAAGGCCUGCUCCAGCCAGGCGGGGGGGGGAAAGAAGUGUUGGGGAUGGAAAACCCUUUUAAGUGGGGAGAAAGGGAAGAAAUUUAAACCUUUGCUUUUUGAAGGUACCCAAAAAAAAAAGCACGGCUAAAUUUGUG